GUGAGGAAUAUUGGUCAAUGGACGGAAGUCUGAACCAGCCAAGUAGCGUGCAGGAUGACGGCCCUAUGGGUUGUAAACUGCUUUUGUAUGGGGAUAAAGUUAGGGACGUGUCCCUAUUUGCAGGUACCAUACGAAUAAGGACCGGCUAAUUCCGUGCCAGCAGCCGCGGUAAUACGGAAGGUCCAGGCGUUAUCCGGAUUUAUUGGGUUUAAAGGGAGCGUAGGCUGGAGAUUAAGUGUGUUGUGAAAUGUAGACGCUCAACGUCUGAAUUGCAGCGCAUACUGGUUUCCUUGAGUACGCACAACGUUGGCGGAAUUCGUCGUGUAGCGGUGAAAUGCUUAGAUAUGACGAAGAACUCCGAUUGCGAAGGCAGCUGACGGGAGCGCAACUGACGCUUAAGCUCGAAGGUGCGGGUAUCAAACAGGAUUAGAUACCCGAGUAGUCC
rnacentral:rRNA from 1 species